UCCAUGGAGGACUAGUGGUUAGGCCACAGUGCUCUCAUUGCUGUGGCUACGGUUUGAUUCCUGGUCCAGGGAA
rnacentral:tRNA from 1 species